UUUUGAAGGAAGGUUUCGGAUGGAAUUUGAAAUGACUGAGCGGCGGACGGGUGAGUAACGCGUGGGUAACCUGCCUCAUACAGGGGGAUAACAGUUAGAAAUGACUGCUAAUACCGCAUAAGCACACAGUACCGCAUGGUACAGUGUGAAAAACUCCGGUGGUAUGAGAUGGACCCGCGUCUGAUUAGCUGGUUGGCGGGGUAACGGCCCACCAAGGCGACGAUCAGUAGCCGACCUGAGAGGGUGACCGGCCACAUUGGGACUGAGACACGGCCCAAACUCCUACGGGAGGCAGCAGUGGGGAAUAUUGCACAAUGGGGGAAACCCUGGUGCAGCAACGCCGCGUGAGUGAAGAAGUAUUUCGGUAUGUAAAGCUCUAUCAGCAGGGAAGAAAGUGACGGUACCUGACUAAGAAGCCCCGGCUAACUACGUGCCAGCAGCCGCGGUAAUACGUAGGGGGCAAGCGUUAUCCGGAUUUACUGGGUGUAAAGGGAGCGUAGACGGCACAGCAAGUCUGAAGUGAAAUCCCCGGGCUCAACCCGGGAACUGCUUUGGAAACUGUUGGGCUGGAGUGCUGGAGAGGCAAGCGGAAUUCCUAGUGUAGCGGUGAAAUGCGUAGAUAUUAGGAGGAACACCAGUGGCGAAGGCGGCUUGCUGGACAGUAACUGACGUUGAGGCUCGAAAGCGUGGGGAGCAAACAGGAUUAGAUACCCUGGUAGUCCACGCCGUAAACGAUGCAUACUAGGUGUCGGGGAGCAAAGCUUUCCGGUGCCGCCGCAAACGCAGUAAGUAUGCCACCUGGGGAGUA
rnacentral:rRNA from 1 species